rnacentral:lncRNA from 1 species
UCCACUAGAAGAGGAUAAGGAUUCUAAAAACAGGAAAGUGAUAAAUGCCGCAUAAUUCCGUAAAGAUCACAGUUAGCUUAAUGUCUUUGUGAAGCAACUAUCACAAAUGAUGUGGGAGGAUUUAGCUGUAAAAUUGCUUGAAAAGCAGAAUGUGAUCUGAGACAGGCAGCCUAGAUUUAUGAGAAGAAACAGGCCCGUAAGUCGUGCUGGGUGGAGAUUUCCAAAGAUAUUAUAUCUAUGACGGACAACGAGCAUGCUUUGUGUGGCCGACAUCGGUGAAGAAUUCCAGAAUGUUCUCUGGAGAGAUUUAUCCUGCAGGCUGGAUUUUCCAUCUGCAUCUGCCCUGGAAGCACAGGAAAAUGGAGCGAGUUCUCUAUUGGUCCACGCAACGGCAAGUCAAACCCAUUUUACUCCUGCCACCUAGUGGCCAGAGGCCAACAAUACACCAAUUUAAAUGGACAGACCAGAGCUCAGGUGGGCAGGGAAACCAAAUUGUGCUCUGCGGGUUCCCACCCAGAAAGUUCAGGGACUUGCCUUCAUCUGCAAGUCUCUGAUGAGCUUGAGGUUGGCUCGAACACUUACUCAAGGGCUGGUCCUAGCUGGUCACCAGAAUGACUGUGAGUGUUUUAAAAAUCCAGACGCUGAGCCGGUCUCAGCCUCCUGACUCAGAUCCCUGCACAGGGACCUAAGCAUCUAUAUUAGAGACCUGGACCCAUUGAGACCCCCAUGCUGAAUGUAGACUUUUCCAGAACACGAACCACAUGGCUCUCGAUUCCUCUGUGGAUCAGUUCCUGACAUGUGCCUGGCACUGAAAACUAAGCCUUGAUGGAAGGAUGAGUGAAUUCAGGACAUCAUGAAUGGAUGAGUGAACACGGUAAAGAUCUUUAUAAAACAGAUUUUUCAAUGGAGAUGGAAUUCACAUAACAUAAAAUUCACCAUUGGAAGGUCCACUGUUCAAUUGAGUGCAGUGGUGCACACCUGUAAUCCCAGUGGAUGGAGAGGCUGAGGCAGGAGGAUCACAAGUUCGAGACCAGCCUAAACAAUUUAGGAAGGCCCUAAACAACUUACCAAGACUCUGUCUCAAAAUAAAAAAAUAAAAUAAAAAGGGCUGGACAUGUGG